rnacentral:rRNA from 1 species
AGCAGCCGCGGUAAUUCCAGCUCCAAUAGCGUAUAUUAAAGUUGUUGCAGUUAAAAAGCUCGUAGUUGGAUUUCGGGGUCAGUGAGUUGGUCGUGCCACUGGUAUGCACUGGCUUUACUGAUUCCUCCUUCUUGAAGAACUGUAAUGCUAUUAAUUUAGUGUUGCAGGGAAACAGGACUGUUACUUUGAAAAAUUAGAGUGUUUAAAGCAGGCUAACGCUUGAAUACAUUAGCAUGGAAUAAUGAAAUAGGACGUUUGAUCCUAUUUUGUUGGUUUCUAGGAUUGACGUAAUGAUUAAUAGGGAUAGUUGGGGGCAUUAGUAUUCAAUUGUCAGAGGUGAAAUUCUUGGAUUUAUUGAAGACUAACUACUGCGAAAGCAUUUGCCAAGGAUGUUUUCAUUAAUCAAGAACGAAAGUUAGGGGAUCGAAGACGAUCAGAUACCGUCGUAGU